rnacentral:rRNA from 1 species
CAGUCGCCGCGGUAAUACGUAGGGUGCAAGCGUUAAUCGGAAUUACUGGGCGUAAAGCGUGCGUAGGCGGUUCGUUAAGUCAGAUGUGAAAUCCCUGGGCUUAACCUGGGAACUGCAUUUGUGACUGGCAAGCUAGAGUAUGGCAGAGGGUGGUAGAAUUCCACGUGUAGCAGUGAAAUGCGUAGAGAUGUGGAGGAACACCGAUGGCGAAGGCGGCUUUCUGGACUACAACUGACGCUGAGGCUCGAAAGCAAGGGGAGCAAACGGGAUUAGAUACCCCUGUAGUCCCUGUCUCUUAUAC